ACCAGCUGCUCCAUGGAUGAUCUCCAUUUGAUAAGGCUUUCAGGGCAGGCAGAAAUUCUUUUGUCACCAGGCAUCAUGAGGGUCAUCAGCUCCUGCUGUAGCCUUUUGCCUACAGGGCCCCAGGCAGUGCCCCUGCUGGGCUCAGCUCCUUUAUGGGCAGUGGUGACACUGACAGUGGCUGGGUCAAAGUUUUGUGAGGCUAUCUGGGUGGCACUGGCAGAGAGACAAGAACUCAGAAAAUGUGACUGCAUCUGUGAUCAUCAUGUUUAUUUUUUAUUUUUAUUUAUUUAUUUUGAGACAGAGUCUUGCUCUUGUCACCCAGGCUCCAUCUCAGAAAAAAAAAGGAAAUAGUUUUAAGUUCUCAAUCAACUUCAACUGAAUGGUUAGUGGUCAGUUUUGUAAUCACAAUGACAUUCUUGCAAACAAAUACAAUGUGUGGCAUCUCUCUUUGAUAUACUGGAUAGUUAAAAAUUAUUUUAAAGUUUUGCCUAAUAUUUUGUGAUUUAUCUCAAUGUAAUCUGUAUAAGUAGUAAAAUUAUAGAUGACUCCUUUCCUUUUUUUUUUUUUUUU
rnacentral:sRNA from 1 species